UACGUAGGGCGCAAGCGUUGUCCGGAAUUAUUGGGCGUAAAGAGCUCGUAGGCGGUCUGUUACGUCCGCUGUGAAAACCCAGGGCUUAACCCUGGGCUUGCAGUGGAUACGGGUAGACUAGAGGCAGGUAGGGGAGAAUGGAAUUCCCGGUGUAGCGGUGAAAUGCGCAGAUAUCGGGAGGAACACCGGUGGCGAAGGCGGUUCUCUGGGUCUGACCUGACGCUGAGGAGCGAAAGCGUGGGGAGCGAACAGG
rnacentral:rRNA from 1 species